CCAUUCCCAUGGUGUCGGUGAGGGUACCCCAAAUUUGUCCGCUGCAAUAUUGGAAGUUUAUUUCAGUGUAUUAUUAAUCGUAUCAAGCAAUCUGAUUUGCCUAAACAACUGUGCAACUGAUUGAGAAUGAUGGAAUUCCCAGCAUACCAAUGUAAUCGACUUCGUUACGUCCAUCUGAUGAGCGGUGUGCUGUUCCAUCUCCAGGCCAAGUCAUGCCAUACGGGUAAUUCAUAUUCUCCCCAGUGUCUGCCAAAAUUUGCAUAAAACCUAUCAUUGAUGCUCUCGACGAUUACGUAACGUUUGGAAUGUAGAACACGUCGUUCACAGUUUUUGAUCACAUGAGUUUUUUUCCAAAUACUGAUAUUGGUUGCAGUUAUUGUUUCAAGUUGCAUUCACCAAAAAUUGAAAUUUUCAGAUUUUGUUACCUGUGUAACUAUCUCCGAACACGAAGAGACCUUGUGCACCAUCAGUGUACCCUGCAUGGAAAGUUGUACAUAAGUAAUGAAGUUAUUUCUGCUAACAGAUAGAAGACACCUCUGAAGCUAGAGGCACUAGGAUAAUUCAUAAUCUGAGGUGUAAUGAGUUUGUUGAGUAAACACUUACUGCAGUUUGUGGUCAGUAGCAGAAGCAUGUUCGAGAAAACACAUGAUAAUACAGCUGCAGAUCCAGUCCCAAUAGUUCGACGUCCAACUGGGUGCGCCAUUCUGAAUUCUUGCUCGAUUGGAACUGCUGUGCUAUC
rnacentral:lncRNA from 1 species